rnacentral:rRNA from 1 species
UAACCGCAAGGAGGGCGAUUACCACGGCAGGGUUCGUGACUGUGGUGAAGUCGUAACAAGGUAGCCGUAGGGGAACCUGCGGCUGGAUCACCUCCUUU